AAGCACUUGCUACAGUCACAUAUUUUUCAAAUAUAUCUUUUUAUCAUACAAAACUAUGGUAUCUCAAUUGAAAUGACGAUACAACAACAAACGCGGUCAUGCUGUACUGUCCCAAAAAAGGGUGCAACCUAUUCUGUGUUAAUGUGACCAACUAAAAAAGCUGGUUGCACCAGUGCUACCAGUCCAAACGUUACUGUAGAGCCGUGUUCAUAGAUACUUUCUGUGAAUACAUUUUGUUAAACUCAACACUUUUUUGUUUUUUUUACACUCACCUGCAGUCUCAUCACACUGAUUGGAAUUGAAGUUGGCCAACUCCCAACUCCCAUUAGCUCUCGGAGAUAUCAUUAGCCUGCGGGUUCACAUACUCUUUCCACUCUGCACGGUGAAAGUGUACAAGGUCACAUGGCGGGACGAGAGAGAAGGAACAAGUUUGUGCCGUGUCAGCAUUCUGGGCACAAAGCGACCCCUUCCUGUUGUUCUCGCUAAGGUGACACAAGGAUUUGAAGGUGGAGAAACAUUUCCAAAAGCUGUGUUUGUGUAACUUCAUCACACACGCACAAUACAGUUCAAGGAAUUAAACGGCUAAGUUGCAUCUGGCAAAUUCUAACAAGCGCACAAUUAACUUGCAGGGUCACCCUCCUCAGACAGGAAACUCCCCUUCCCCCUGACAUAAAGAGGGGAAGGCGGGGGCAACGGGAACACUGGGCUUCAGUGUGACAGUGAGAUGGCACGAGGGAGAGGAGGAAGGACGAAGCCACCAAAUGUAGCGUCAGCUUCUACAUUCACAACAUAAAUGUGGAGUUGUCUCAACACCUGCAUCCCCCACGGGGAUGACGUCCCUGAUCCGGGGGUCCUGAUGUACCAACUUGAACCUUCAAAUGUCAAAUGAACAGGGAUGAAUCCAUGAAGAGGACAAGCGGUUGACAUCGCCGUUAUUCAAGGAAAGCAUGCUGUAGAUGUCGCACUUUCCUAAAAAGAAGACACAAUUUUGAUGAUACACUUUAGACAGAAGACGUCAUUGAAGACAAGCUGUUGAUGGGGCAGUUCACUAAAACUGA